UUUUUUUUUUUUUUUUUUUGAGUGCCAGCGUGUAGCGUUAAAAAAGGCCACGUGGUCAAAACUGACGAAUGUCAAGCGUGAUUUUGAUCAGCGACCUGUUUUGACGUUUAUCAAAUAUUUAUUUUCAGGGUUUGGAAAGCUACUUUACAAGUUACUUGUUAUAUAAGUUACUUUUUAUUAUAGAAAUUGAGUACAGUAAGUUUUAUAUUAUAUUUUAUAUAUCAGUUGCUCCAAUUUUGCAUUACUUCUGUACUCGAUUUCCAUAACAAACACAUAUAAGAUAACCUAAAAGGCCUAAAAGCAUAAUUCAAUCAGUGCGAAGAAAACUUCCAACAGUUGCAAGAUAAAUAUUCCACCGAACGCGAGCAAUCGUUCGUAACCGCUCGAAUAAACUGUAAAUCCGUACCCAAAAAUAAGCUCCGGGCGUCAAAGUGAAAAGGAUCCAAGAUCGAAGUCGUUCCUCUUCACAGAGGCGCUGAACGGAGGCGCGACGCGUCUCACAUGGAACGUCGAGAU